CUUGGCCGUGGUCUCGGACGGACCUUGCGCGGCAGAUGCUGCUGGGCGCGGCGUCGACGCGCGCGGCGGGGUCGGCGGUCCCGUGGGCGCUGGAAUGAACGGCCAGUUGACGUCGUGGCAGAUGCCCUUCCAGAUGGCCUCUUGCUUUUCGAGUUUGUCGCGACCCUUGAGCAGCGAAAAGUAGGGCAGGUAUUCGACCCAAUUGAGCAGCUGGAAGAACUUGUAGAGCACGUACACGUAGGAGAGGAAGUUGACACGCGUCGGAUUGAUGCGCGCCUUCCACUUGGCGUACGGGGCCUGGAUGCGCAUAAACAUCUGGCGGCAAUAGUUCUCCUUGGUGGGGCCGAGGACGGGCGCCGGCUUGCCCGUGAUCGAACACCAUAUGUACAUCUCAAAGUCGUAAAAGUCCUUGAAGGCGUUGGCCUUGAGCGCCUGGCGCACCGUGAGGGUCGUGAUGUCGUCGACGGUCGUGAUGCCCUGCGCCACGUGCCACUCCAUGACGGCGUCGAGCACCUCCUUGGUCACACGCUUGCUGCCCUUGCCCUGGAACAUCUUGAGGCGGUCCUCAAAGUGGUGGGCCUUUUUCGGAUUGUUGGACAGGAACUCGACCUCGUCGCCAUAGGCCAUGGACGCCGUCGUGGCGUCCAUGUACGGGUAGCCCGCGCGGCACUCGGGGCACGUGAGCAGGGCGCCGUUGACCGACUGCAGGAGCGGCACGGCGCAUGUCGGGCACGCGUCGUGCUGCACGAUGUGCAUGGGCGGCGCCUGCUCCUCAAACUCGGCGCGGUACUCGCGCCACAAGGUCGCGUUGGUCGCCACGGGUCCGGUUGUGGAGCCGCCACCGCCGCCGCCGGCGUGGACCCCGAUGGCUCCCCCGUCCUUGCUGGGCGUGGUCGCCUCUGACAUCAUCGGUGGCACCGUCGACGUCGUUGAAGAAGUCGCCAAUGAUGUCGGACGCGACGAUAAAGUCGGGUCGUCGCCGUCGUCAGAUCGCAGGCGCUUGGCACAAUGGGCCGAGGAUGCGUCGCGCUCCGCGGCGGCAUUGGCGCGCGCCAAGGCGAGAUAACGCUCUGCGCGCGUCUCAAAGGCUGCGCUGUCGGCGCCCGUCUCGAUGCGCGCGGCCUUUGCCUCGAUGGCGUCGGCUUCGAGCGCGAGGCUCUGCGCACGACGCAUCGUGGCCCUGGUAGCGCCGAG
rnacentral:lncRNA from 1 species